rnacentral:rRNA from 1 species
GCUGGAUUCGCUAGUAAUCGCGCAUCAGCCAUGGCGCGGUGAAUACGUUCCCGGGCCUUGUACACACCGCCCGUCAAGCCAUGGGAGCUGGGGGUGCCUGAAGGCCGUGACCGCGAGGAGCGGCCUAGGGUAAAACCGGUGACUGGGGCUAAGUCGUAACAAGGUAAC